ensembl:lncRNA
AAAGACAGGUGUAUCAGGUUGCUGGCCAUUUCCCCUGCUGAAACUCCUGGGCUGGCAACUGGGGGUCCUGAGAGUGUCCUCCUGCUGUCUUUGCUCAACUCAGCUCUCAUGGCCAAAGGGCUCCGAGAAACACAGUCAUCUCCCUCCACUGUCAACAUAUACCCUGCCUACGGGAGAGACCAUCGUAGUAACAGCCCACACCUGCACCGUCUCCCGCCCGCUCCAGCCCAGCAAGGUGCCCAGGACAGGAUGGCAGUCCCAUUUUACAGGUGGGCAUCCUGAGGCCCAGAGAAGGACAGUAAUUCUCCAUGAGCCACACUACUGGGAUUCCCUGCUGGCCAGCCUCAGCCUCACCCCAUCCCAAGGGUCAGUCCUGACUCAGGAAAGGAGGACAAGAAGGCAUCCAGCCGCAGAGUUCUGAUUGCUGUCCAAAGGUGAAGACAUGAAGAGACUUCAGGGAACUACUUGUGCUUGCAGGACCUGCCAAAAGGGGCUCCAAACAGACCAUGAAUGGCUGCCCAACACCCGCCUUCGGCUCCAUAUAGAAAUUCCAAAAAUGGCCUUAGGGCUUGAUCGAAAGAUCUCUCUCUGGAGAAAUUCUCAUCUCUGCUUUCCUUGAGGUUGGCUGUGCUCCCAGGCACACUCUUUCCAUGUGGCCACUCAUGGCUGCUCAAGGCUUACAUCCUUGUUUUAAUAUCCUCAAACAAAAAAGAGACAGGUUCUUAUUCAAGAGUCCAGUCAAAGUUCCAGCCUGACUUUCCUUUGCCGGAUUGGGGUCAUGUGCCCAUCUAUGAACCAAUCACUGUGGCCAGUGUGGGAUGUGCUGCCAUGAUUGGCUGGAUCUGGGUCACAUGUCCUCUCCCAGAGCCUUGUGGAUCAAGAGUAGAGGAGGGAAAGGAGAGGGCUGCAGGAGAAAAGGGAAAGGGGUGUUGGGCAGAGGGAGACCUCCAUAAUCCCUGCUUCAGCCUGGGUGCCGCCUUCCUUGAUCAGCAUGUCUCCUUCCUCCCCAGUAUUCUCUGCCUCAGCACCUUCCCGAUUUCCUUCAUUGUUCAUAUUGCUAUUUAGAGUUACAUAGUUGCUUCCUUGAGCUUCCCAGGUGACUCAGCGGUAAAGAGUUCACCUGUCAAUGCAGGAGACGGAAGCGACCCCAUGGACUG